AUAAACUGAAGGAAUAUUUAGUUGUGUAUUAUUAAAUUCGUGAAAAUGUAAUGUCUUAAGUUUAUGUGGCGUUAAUUGAGAUGUUGUGCAACCUGAGAGUUCGAUUGAAAAUGUUAAAAGUCUAAAGCUAUCCGAUGAGCAAGAACCAACCAGUGUGUUUCAGCCCUAGCGUUACCCGGUUAGACAUAAAGGCUAAAUUUGUGCCCGGAAGUGAAUCCAGCAGCGGAAAUUAUAGCGGGACGACUACUGAGGAUGAACUCUGUGAUGUUGAAGAAGUCCCCUAAUAAGACCUGCAACUGGACGGGUCCUUCUGCUAAGCCGAAAGCCGCCAAAGGCCGUCUAAAGCCGUAACUGCUGUUCUCACCGGACAAUGGAUGGUCAACUAUCACAUGCAUAAAACCGGAGUAGGGGAUGAAUCUGUGAUUCUAGACGGUCGGACGGAGGACAACGCAAACGUCUAGCUGGGUACAAGUGUCGACCAACAUGGUGAUUGGGCAGCAUUCUAUUGCCUUAAAGACGUUUAUUCAUUACCGUUUUCAAAAUAUAGGUACUCGACGUGUGAAUAUCCUGACAUCAUUACUGUUUUUUAAUAAUAUAUAAUAAAUGUUUUGAAUU